rnacentral:lncRNA from 1 species
CUACCCUGGUACCUAGAGAGACCAAUACAGACAGACCAUACUACCCUGGUACCUAGAGAGACCAAUACAGAUGUACCAUAAUACUAAGGCUAACCAGAGCUGCCCGUACUACUAUGACUGAAAUAGAGUUUGUGUCACAAAUCCCACCCUUUUCCUGAUAUAGUGCCCUUCUGAACAGGGCCCAUAGGGCUUUGGUCAACAGUAGUGCACCAUGCAGGGAAUAAAGUGCAGUUUGGGACGUAAACAAAUAUAUUUUGUUUCAAAACUUCCAACUGGCAUAAAAUUCCAGUAAUAAUAGCAAUUUACUGGAUGGAAAAUCUGGUUUGAAAUACAUUACAUACUAUGAUAUAAUUAUAUGCUGAACUGCUCAGUAUGAACAACUUAAUGUUUUUUGGAAUAAUUGUAAACAGAAAAAGUACUGACUUGGCGUUUUGUCUAUGAUAGCAUUUGGUCACACGUGAGUGCUACUGUAUUAAACAGCUACGGUACAGUACAGUACAGUGACUGUUCAUUACAAAUCUGUGGUCCAAAAUCUCAGCAUAAAUCCUCUACCAAUUAUUCCAUAGCUCUGUCAGCCCUCUCACGGUUCACUUAAAGUACACUGAGCAGAAAGAACAUUCCUGUCAGAGCAUCUGUUUAGUAGAGCACUACACAUCUCUAGGUUCAGACCAGAGAGAUUUAGGUUUUGACAAGAGACACAGAUGUUGAAGGUUGUAGUAGCCUGAAGGAGGGAAGGAGAAGCGAAGGAGGGAGGGAAGAAUAGUUGGAGGGAGGGAAGAAGAGUAGGAGGGAGAGAAGAAGAGUAGGAGGGAGGGAAGAAGAGUAGUAGGGAGAGAAGAAGAGAAGGAGGGAGAGAAGAAGAGUAGGAGGGAGAGAAGAAGAGUAGGAGGGAGGGAAGAAGAGUAGGAGGGAGAGAAGAAGAGUAGGAGGGAGGGAAGAAGAGUAGGAGGGAGGGAAGAUGAGUAGGAGAGAAGUAGGAGGGGGGAAGAAAAGUAGGAGGGAGAGAAGAAGAUUAGGAGGGAAGUAGGAGGGAGAGAAGAGUAGGAGGGGAGAAGAAGAGUAGAAGGGAGCGAAGAAGAGUAGGAGGGAGAGAAGAAGAGUAGAAGGGAAGAAGAGUAGGAGGGAGGGAAGAAGUGUAGGAGGGAAGAAGAAGGGAGAGAAGAAGAGUAGUAGGGACCGAAGAAGAGGAGUAUGGGCUGAAGAAGAGUAGCAGGGAAAGGAAGAGUAGGAGGGAGGUAAGAAGAGUAGGAGGGAGGGAGGAAGAGUAGGAGGGAGGGGAGAAGAGUAGGAGGGAAGGACGAAGAAUAGGAGGGUGUGAAGAAGCAUAGGAGGGAGGGGAGAAGAGUAGGAGGGAAGGAAGAAGGGUAGGAGGGAGAGAAGAAGAGGAGGAAGGAGGGAAGAAGAGGACGAGGGAGAGAAGAAAAGUAGGAGGGAGAGAAGAAGGGUAGGAGGGAGAGAAGAAGAGGAGGCAGGAAACAUAGAGAGAGUUUGGAAAACACUGUAAAGAGGGAAAUGGUGGUGUACAUAGUGCAGAUGAACGCACGCUGUAUGACGUAAGACAAUGGGUUCUGAUGAGAGUAUUUAUUACAGUAAUUAAACCGCAGAGAGGCCUUGAUGAUGGUUAUUAAGGUAAAUACAUCACUCAGACCCAGGCCACAUCUUGGUUCUGAUGAGGACACAGUAGGGUUGUGAAUGUCUGGGAAGAACAGAGAGUCUGAGUUAAUAAGGUGCCCGUUAAUGGACCGGGGGAAAACAGUGGUUGCUAAGGUGACUGUUAAUAGAGCUCUGUAUAAACUAAUCAAUGAGCCGGGAGGAGAUCCUGUCUCUCAGUAGAUUAGAUCACACUAAUACAGUAUGUGAAUGUCUCUGUUCCUCUCUGGCUGCCUGUCCAGUCUAUGGCAUGGUCCUCUCAGUGGCAGACCAGAGGAGGAUGGCUGUGUCGAGGUUUUUCCUUGCUCUAUGUUUGCUCUUUUGGGUGUUUAAGUCUCAGACACGCAUUACAUUAAUGGAUUUAUUAUAAUAAUAGACUGUGACAGAUUGAGAUGUAUUAACUAACUGGUUUCAUCCAUGUACUUACUUCCGUAUCCCAGUCAGAGCCUCCAGUACAUCUCCUUCCAGCUGUCCCUCCAGAUCCUCCAUCACCUUCUGGACCAC